UCCGUUCUAGUCUAGUUGGUUAGGAUAUUUGGCUCUCACCCGAAAGACCCCGGUUCGAUUCCCGGCAACGGAA
rnacentral:tRNA from 1 species